GAUGAACGCUAGCGGCAGGCUUAAUACAUGCAAGUCGAACGGUAAGUAGUGUAGCAAUACAUUACCAAGAGUGACGUACGGGUGCGUAACACGUAUGCAACCUACCUUGUACAGGAGUAUAGCUCGGGGAAACUCGAAUUAACCCUCCAUAAGAUCGUGGUGUGGCAUCACACAGCGAUAAAACUCAGGUGGUACAAGCUGGGCAUGCGUCUGAUUAGAGUUGGCGGGGUAACGGCCCACCAAGACGAUGAUCAGUAGGGGAACUGAGAGGUUGAUCCCCCACACUGGCACUGAGAUACGGGCCAGACUCCUACGGGAGGCAGCAGUAGGGAAUAUUGGUCAAUGGAUGCAAGUCUGAACCAGCCAUGCCGCGUGCAGGAAGAAGGCCUUCUGGGCUGUAAACUGUCUUUUGCCAGGGGAUAAAUUCUCGUGCGCGAGAAAUUGAAGGUACC
rnacentral:rRNA from 1 species